AGUAGUGCGCUUUCUCGCGGCUGUCAUAAGUACCACGCUGUUGACUGGGACACCGAUCUCCAAUUCUGUCCUUGAGGCAAUAAAGAUGUGGCGAAGGCCCGAGGUGAGGCCACUGCCACUGCACUUAGUCCUGCGACUCCCCUAAGGACGGGCCGAGGAAUGGCGGGCUAGCCACUUCCCAGUCCUGUCCCUACGGGGCAGAAAAAGGCUCGGCAUCCCGGGAUCCGGAGGGUCACUUCCCUCGCUGCAUCCCCAUUGUGCAACUGCCAGUCUAAAAAUUGAUAUAGGUAAGCUUAUGAAUGCUAAAACUAAUGAAUGCAAGAUGCUAAAACAAACAAUUAACUGAAAGGUUGUAGGGAAGAGGAUGUUAGUAUCUCAAAGAAUCACCCUACAGAUCAUUUCUUAUUAUAAAGGGAAAAUAGAAUUUUACACUGAAGAGAUUUAUUAGACAUACCUUAACCAAGUGAAGAUACUUAGCAUCGCUAAUAUCACCCGAUAGUAUUUGUGCUAGAAAUGUUUGACAUUAAUCAUGAGGAAACAAUCAGAAAAAAACAAUGUAGAAUAUUCUACAAGACAACAGGCCUAGGCUCUUCAAAAAUGUCAGUGUCAUGACAGGAAAAAGAAAAAAACGAAGUGGAAAAUUACUUUAGUCGAGAGUCAAAAGAAACCAAAUGAAAUUUGUGAAUCUUGGCUGGUUCAUAGUUUUUAAAAAAAAAAAAAAACUUCGAAAGACAUUUGUGGACAACUGGGGAAAUUUAAAUAUGAACUACAUAUUAGAUGAUAUUGAAUCAGUUUUAAAUUGAUUGCAUGUGAGAAUUAAUUUGUGAUUAAGUGGAAGAAUGCCUUUGUUUUUGGAAGGCGCUUGCUAAAGUAAUUAGCAGCAAAGUGUCACAGUGUUUGCGGCUUACCUUCAAAAGAUAUGGCAAAAAAAUAGAGAAAGCAAAUGUGGCAAAAUAUUAGUAAUUGGUGAAUCUAGUUGAAGGGUAUAAUGGUGUACAUCGUACCAGUCUUGCAACUUUCUAAAAUAACAGAUUUUAUAAAAUAAAAAGAGGAGGGGGGAAAAGGAAUAGAAUUCUGAUCUUUACCAUGGCCUCCCAGGUCCUGCACAAUCAAGUGUCAGCCGACCUCACUCCCCACUAACUGUACAGUUAAUCUCCUGGAGAAACUAGAGGCAGCCAGGGAGGAUGCUGUUGAACCAGUUAGGAGGCUGUUGCAAGAGAUCCCAGGAAAAGAUAAUGAUAAUGUGGACUUGGAAGAUGGCAGAGGAGUUGCAGAAAAGUAUCCAGAUUUUAAAGGUACUUUUUCCGACGUUUUUCAUUUCAGCACCAGCUGC
rnacentral:lncRNA from 1 species